GGCUUGGACUGAUCACGGCUCAUCUGUUCACAGCUGACCAUGAGGUUCCCUGCUCAGCUCCUGGGGCUCCUCCUGCUCUGGGUCCCAGGAUCCAGUGGGGCCAUCGUGCUGACCCAGUCUCCACUCUCCCUGUCAGUCAGCCCUGGAGAGCCUGCCUCUAUCUCCUGCAGGUCCAGUCAGAGCCUCCUACACAGUGAUGGAGCCUCUCUAUUGUAUUGGUACCAGCAGAAACCAGGCCAGUCUCCAAGGCUCCUGAUCUAUUAUGCUACCAACAGGGCCACUGGGGUCCCGGACAGGUUCACUGGCAGUGGAUCAGGGACAGAUUUCACCCUCAAAAUCAGCAGGGUGGAGGCUGAGGAUGUGGGAGUUUAUUACUGCCAGCAAAUUAUACACUCUCCUCCCACAGUGAUACAGCCCUUAGCAAAAACCCCUCUUCUGUGGGCCCAGCUGCACACAUGUGUGAGUUGUCUGGGGAGCAGAGGGGCAGAAGCUCUGAGACUGUGUAAGAGGCAGAAGAGAGAGAACCAGCAGCAGAGGGUGCAGCUGAGGCCUGUGGACCAGCAGAGCCUCAGCUCCUCCUCAGACCCCACAUGUUAAGGCCCCAUAAGCUCA